UUGCUUUCUUUUGCUGGCGACCGGCGCACGGGUGAGUAACACGUAUCCAACCUGCCCUUUACUCGGGGAUAGCCUUUCGAAAGAAAGAUUAAUACCCGAUAGUAUAAUGAUUCCGCAUGGUUUCAUUAUUAAAGGAUUCCGGUAAAGGAUGGGGAUGCGUUCCAUUAGGUUGUUGGUGAGGUAACGGCUUACCAAGCCUUCGAUGGAUAGGGGUUCUGAGAGGAAGGUCCCCCACAUUGGAACUGAGACACGGUCCAA
rnacentral:rRNA from 1 species